rnacentral:lncRNA from 1 species
GGAGACUUUCAUUUACCGGCAUGCAGUGCCUGGAAGCAUUUGGAAGGCGCAAAAGUGGCUUCAGAUAGGGAAAGAGAAAAAGUUCAAGCAAGCCUGGAAGAUCUUUGAUGAAUUUUUGGAGCAAUGUCUUACAAGAAAGCGAGAGCAAUUAAGCCAAAACUGUAGAGAUCAAAUAGAAGGAGAGGGUUUCGACUUGUUAACGUACUUUUUGGCAGAAGAUGAUGAUUUUGAAGCAACUGCAGCAAAAAUUGGCAUUCAGACAAAAUCAAAUAAGUUUCUAAGAGAUAUGGCGUUUAAUCUCUUUCUAGCUGGAAGAGAUACCAUAGGUGCUAGUCUUAUUUGGCUCUUUUGGCUUGUUGGAACACACCCAUCUGUAGAAAAAAAGAUUUUGGAAGAGAUCAAAGAAAAUCUAGGAGAAAAAACUAAUGAAAAACGGAGGGUUUUCAGUACUGAAGAGGUAAGAAAACUAGUUUAUCUUCAUGCAGUGAUAUGUGAGGUUUUAAGGCUGUAUCCAUCAGUACCUUUUGAGCACAAAGUGUCAAUCGAAGAAGACAUAUUGCCUAGCGGGCAUAAUGUGCCUAAAAACAUGAGGAUUUUAUUCUCCUUCUAUUCGAUGGGAAGGAUGGAAGAAAUUUGGGGUAAAGAUUGCUU